rnacentral:rRNA from 1 species
CCUACGGGUGGCAGCAGUGGGGAAUAUUGCACAAUGGGGGAAAGCCUGAUGCAGCGACGCCGCGUGAGGGAUGAAGUAUUUCGGUAUGUAAAGCUCUAUCAGCAGGGAAGAAAAUGACGGUACCUGACUAAGAAGCCCCGGCUAACUACGUGCCAGCAGCCGCGGUAAUACGCCGGGGGCAAGCGUUAUCCGGAUUAACUGGGUGUAAAGGGAGCGGAGACGGUUCUGCAAGCCAGAUGGGAAAGCCUGGGGCUCAACCCCGGGACUGCCUUUGAAACUGUAAGGCUAGAGUGUCGGAGAGGCAGGCGGAAUGCCUGGUGUAGCGGUGAAAUGCGUAGAUAUUAGGAGGAACACCGGUUGCGAAGGCGGCUUGCUGGACUGAAACUGACGCUGAGGCUCGAAAGCGUGGGGAGCAAACAGGAUUAGAUACCCUAGUAGUC